rnacentral:rRNA from 1 species
AAAUUGAAGAGUUUGAUCAUGGCUCAGAUUGAACGCUGGCGGCAGGCCUAACACAUGCAAGUCGAGCGGAAACGACAACAUUGAAUCUUCGGAGGAUUUGUUGGGCGUCGAGCGGCGGACGGGUGAGUAAUGCCUAGGAAAUUGCCUUGAUGUGGGGGAUAACCAUUGGAAACGAUGGCUAAUACCGCAUAAUGCCUACGGGCCAAAGAGGGGGAUCUUCGGACCUCUCGCGUCAAGAUAUGC